rnacentral:tRNA from 1 species
AAGAGCGUGGCAGGAUGGCGGAGAGAGAGGGAUUCGAACCCUCGAUACGGUUUCCCGUAUACACGCGUUCCAGGCGUGCGCCUUCA